rnacentral:rRNA from 1 species
AGGGUUCGAUUCUGGCUCAGAACGAACGCUGGUGGCGUGUCUUAUACAUGCAAGUCGAGCGAGGCAGCAAUGCCGAGCGGCGAACGGGUGAGUAACGCGUAAGCAAUCUGCCCCAUAUCAGGAAAUACCCGUGCCAACGCGCGGUUAAUGUCCAGGAGAGUGGCCCCUUGCAUGAGGGGUUGACUAGAGAUUUAUCGGUAUGGGAUGAGCUUGCGUCCGAUUAGCUAGUUGGCGGGGCAACGGCCCACCAAGGCGACGAUCGGUAGCCGGCCUGAGAGGGUGAUCGGCCACAUUGGGACUGAGAUACGGCCCAGACUCCUACGGGAGGCAGCAGUAGGGAAUAUUGCACAAUGGGGGAAACCCUGAUGCAGCAACGCCACGUGUGGGAAGAAGCAUUUCGGUGUGUAAACCACUGUCAUGAGGGAAUAAGGCCCGCCUUCGGACGGGAUUGAAUGUACCUUGAGAGGAAGCACCGGCAAACUUCGUGCCAGCCGCUGC